AUACGGAGGAUCCGAGCGUUAUCCGGAUUUAUUGGGUUUAAAGGGAGCGUAGGUGGAUUGUUAAGUCAGUUGUGAAAGUUUGCGGCUCAACCGUAAAAUUGCAGUUGAAACUGGGAGUCUUGAGUACAGUAGAGGUGGGCGGAAUUCGUGGUGUAGCGGUGAAAUGCUUAGAUAUCACGAAGAACUCCGAUUGCGAAGGCAGCUCACUAGACUGUUACUGACACUGAUGCUCGAAAGUGUGGGUAUCAAACAGGAUUAGAUACCCUGGUAGUCCACACAGUAAACGAUGAAUACUCGCUGUUUGCGAUAUACAGUAAGCGGCCAAGCGAAAGCAUUAAGUAUUCCACCUGGGGAGUACGCCGGCAACGGUAAAACUCAAAUGAAUCGACGGGG
rnacentral:rRNA from 1 species